rnacentral:rRNA from 1 species
AUUGAACGCUGGCGGCAUGCUUUACACAUGCAAGUCGAACGGUAACAGGUCUUUCGGGAUGCUGACGAGUGGCGAACGGGUGAGUAAUGUAUCGGAACGUGCCCAGUAGUGGGGGAUAACUACUCGAAAGAGUGGCUAAUACCGCAUGAGAUCUCUGGAUGAAAGCGGGGGACCGUAAGGCCUCGCGCUACUGGAGCGGCCGAUAUCAGAUUAGGUUGUUGGUGAGGUAAAGGCUCACCAAGCCGACGAUCUGUAGCUGGUCUGAGAGGACGACCAGCCACACUGGGACUGAGACACGGCCCAGACUCCUACGGGAGGCAGCAGUGGGGAAUUUUGGACAAUGGGCGCAAGCCUGAUCCAGCAAUGCCGCGUGCAGGACGAAGGCCUUCGGUUGUAAACUGCUUUGUACGGAACGAAAGACCUUCUUCUAAUACAGGAGGGUCAUGACGGUACCGUAAGAAUAAGCACCGGCUAACUACGUGCCAGCAGCCG